AGGACGAACGCUGGCGGCGUGCUUAACACAUGCAAGUCGAGCGGAAAGGCCCUUCGGGGUACUCGAGCGGCGAACGGGUGAGUAACACGUGAGUAACCUGCCCCUAGCUCUGGGAUAGCUCCGGGAAACCGGGAUUAAUACCAGAUACGACCACUUUAGACAUCUGUCGUGGUGGAAAGGAUUCCGGCUAGGGAUGGGCUCGCGGCCUAUCAGCUUGUUGGUGGGGUAACGGCCUACCAAGGCGACG
rnacentral:rRNA from 1 species